UACGAAGGGGGCUAGCGUUGCUCGGGAUCACUGGGCGUAAAGCGCACGUAGGCGGACUCUUAAGUCAGGGGUGAAAUCCUGGAGCUCAACUCCAGAACUGCCUUUGAUACUGGGAGCCUUGAGUUCGGGAGAGGUGAGUGGAACUGCGAGUGUAGAGGUGAAAUUCGUAGAUAUUCGCAAGAACACCAGUGGCGAAGGCGGCUCACUGGCCCGAUACUGACGCUGAGGUGCGAAAGCGUGGGGAGCAAACAGG
rnacentral:rRNA from 1 species